rnacentral:rRNA from 1 species
CCUACGGGAGGCAGCAGUGAGGAAUAUUGGACAAUGGGGGCGAGCCUGAAGCAGCGAAGCAGCGUGAAGGAUGAAUGCCCUACGGGUUGAAAACUUCAUUUAUAAAGGAAUAAAGUGCGGCACGUGUGCCUUUUUGUAUGUACUUUAUGAAUAAGGAUCGGCUAACUCCGUGCCAGCAGCCGCGGUAAUACGGAGGGGGCGAGCGUUAAGCGGAUUUACUGGGUGUAAAGCGCUCGUAGGCGGUAUGGCAAGUCAAGGGUGAAAUCCCCGCGCUCAACGUGGGAACUGCCGUUGAAACUGGCAAACUGGAGUGUGUGAGAGGAUAGUGGAAUUCCAGGUGUAGGGGUGAAAUGCGUAGAUAUCUGGAGGAACAUCAGUGGCGAAGGCGACUAACUGGAACAUAACUGACGCUGAGGCGCGAAAGCGUGGGUAGCAAACAGGAUUAGAUACCCCUGUAGUC